UGUUAUGUUAGCUAGCUGGUGGACAAUUUAUUGACAGCUGAAAGUUAGUUAUAGCAUUAGCUCUUUUCUUACUCUAUAAAUAGCUUUGUAUAGACACAUUGAUAAUCAAUCAAUCAGUUAUUCAGUUUCUCUUUGUUCUUCCUUUCUCACAUCUCUACUUCCAAGAAUUGAGCUUUAUGCUGAGGCUUCUUCCUCAGCUAUGUCUAGCUGAUUUUGUCAUUGUAUCAGAGCCAGAAAUUGUUCUAGAGGCUCAUACAUGAUGUCACCUCUAGAGUUUGAUAGCAGAUCUUGAUCCAAGGAUGAGCACUCCGUCCCCAGGUACCAGUUGUAGCCCACAAUACAUAACCAAACAACAUACAACUUCAGCCAGCAGGCGAUGAGUUCUCUUGAUUCGAGGACUCGAGUCAACUCUAGUUCUAGUAUUAUAUUUUUAUUCAGUCGUAUUUAUUAGGGAUGGCUGGGGGUCAUGUCCCGGCUACUUAUAGUCAGUAGUAAUAGAGGCUUCAUAGACAGUCAGUCAAAGUUGAUGUAUUUAGUUUCAGCUUCCUUUAUAUAACCAAUGUUGUAAGUUUUUGAAUAAUUUUGUAUUGAACAAGAUCAGAUAAUGACAUCGCUUCCACUUAUUGCUUCUGA